rnacentral:lncRNA from 1 species
UGAGGGAAUAGAGGAGUAUGUGUCAGGAAGAGAGGGAAAGCCAGUAGGGCUUUGAAGCUCAGACUGUGAGAGGCAGAGUAGUAUACCAUAAGGCUAGGAAAAUAGAUUGGGACCAGGUGGUGAGGGCCUUUAAAGACUAAAUAGAGCUUACCUUUGAUCCCAGAGGCAAUAGAAAGCCACCAGUUUAUCGAGUAGGAGAAGAGAAACAACCAGAUCUCUAUUAAGGAAAAUAAUUUUGGCUACAGUGUGUAGAAUGGCCAGAAAGAGGCAAGAAGGCCAUUGCAAUAGACCAGCUUUCUGAUGUUAUCACAAAAAACGGCACGGAAAAGUCAGUCCACUCUGGAAAGGACACUCUGUCUCCGAACUGUCUCUUGUGCACCUGCUUCAUGCCUGUAAUUCCCCUCCUAUGUACCUCCUGGCUUCUCAUCCUUUUUUCAAGACUCAGCUAAAAUCUCACCUUUUGCAGUAAGUCUUUUCCACUUGAGAUUACUCUGUAUGAACAUGAAUUGUUUUUGUAUUUCCUCCUCCUUAGAAUGUGAGCUCCUUGAGAGCAAGGGUUGUUUUUUCCUUUCUUUUUACCUCCAUCAUAGUGCCUGAAAUAUAGUAAGAUGUUUAAGGUUUAAUAAAUGCUGAUUGAUUGAUUGAUUCA